rnacentral:lncRNA from 1 species
AUAGAUUAGAUUCUUAAAUGAAUGGAGCAUAUUCCAUGAAGAACUAGAGAGAACCUGAGUAGCUUGGUUACUGUGUCUUUGUCAAAUGUGGUAAACACUUUGAAAACUUCUUAGCAACAAAUAGCUUGACCUGGAGCCGGAGUCAUGGCCCAGUGAUUCUGAGCUUUGUCGACUUGUCUUGGUUAAAGUUAGGUAGAGAACCUUAUGUCUUGGUUUAAUUUAGUUGGAAGAACUACAUUUAUCAAUCUGAUGAAUGCAUUGGCCUCUUGCAAUUGGGUGUUAAGCACUGAAUCACAGGGUGGUGAACUAAACGCUGGGAGCAAAUCAAACCAGGUUUGUGGGAUCAACAGAUUACUGAUUAUCUGACUUCCUGCAGUUGAAAUUUAUUUCUUAGCUUGCAUAAUGAUGAUUAUAUCAUUCUUCUAUUAACUUCAAAUCUAGUAUCAUACAUCUUUCAUUUAUUUCUUGAAUGUUCAUGUGGUGGCUAACUGAGACAGUCAAUGUUUGAUGACGUUUAUCUUUGUGGCCUGCACUGAGUUUCUAGGCUUUUAUGAGGGGCUACCAUCCUAGUUUGAUGAAUAUAAAGUAUGAUAAUGAUUAUAUCUCUUUCAUGUAAAAUCCUGCCCAUGAUUUGGGCUUACUGCUACUGUUUGCAUGACUUUUAUGUACGAUCAUGUAUGUAACAUGGAGAAGUUAGUUCCUAGCUAAAUGGCUUGUUGAAACUUGAAAUGUUGACAUUCUGUUCAGCAUGCUUCUGCCUGAAUACAGUACUAAAGUGUAGAUAAGGUUCUUGUUCAGAACUACUUCUGAAAUCUCCCUCAUGCAGAAGUCAUCUUCCAUUUCAAAGUAAAAGGACAAGAAAGUAUAGUUUGCCUCAGGAGUGGGAUGGAUUUUGGAAAUUAAUCCUUGCAAUGUCAC